UGGGGAAUAUUGCACAAUGGGCGAAAGCCUGAUGCAGCAACGCCGCGUGAGCGAUGAAGGCCUUCGGGUCGUAAAGCUCUGUCCUCAAGGAAGAUAAUGACGGUACUUGAGGAGGAAGCCCCGGCUAACUACGUGCCAGCAGCCGCGGUAAUACGUAGGGGGCUAGCGUUAUCCGGAAUUACUGGGCGUAAAGGGUGCGUAGGUGGUUUCUUAAGUCAGAGGUGAAAGGCUACGGCUCAACCGUAGUAAGCCUUUGAAACUGGGAAACUUGAGUGCAGGAGAGGAGAGUGGAAUUCCUAGUGUAGCGGUGAAAUGCGUAGAUAUUAGGAGGAACACCAGUUGCGAAGGCGACUCUCUGGACUGUAACUGACACUGAGGCACGAAAGCGUGGGGAGCAAACA
rnacentral:rRNA from 1 species